GGCGAACGCUGGCGGCGUGCUUAACACAUGCAAGUCGAACGGAAAGGCCCUGCUUUUGUGGGGUGCUCGAGUGGCGAACGGGUGAGUAACACGUGAGUAACCUGCCCUUGACUUUGAGAUAACUUCAGGAAACUGGGGCUAAUACCGGCUAGGAGCUCCUGCUGCAUGGUGGGGGUUGGAAAGUUUGGGCGGUUGGGGAUGGACUCGCGGCUUAUCAGCUUGUUGGGGGGGUAGUGGCUUACCAAGGAUUUGACGGGUAGCCGGACUGGAAGGGUGACCGGCCCCAUUGGGACUGGGAUACGGCCCGGAGUGAUUCGGGGGGCAGCGGUGGGAACUAUUGCAAGCCGGGCCGAGGCCUGGUGCAGGGUCGCCGGGUGCGAGAUGACGGCCUUCGGGUUGUAAGCGGAUUUCGCCUGUGACGAGGCGUGAGGGCGGGUACUGGGUAAAGAGGCACCGGCUACCUACGG
rnacentral:rRNA from 1 species